rnacentral:rRNA from 1 species
ACGGAAGGCAGCAGUGGGGAAUAUUGCCCAAUGGGGGAAACCCUGAUGCAGCAACGCCACGUGUGGGAAGAAGCAUUUCGGUGUGUAAACCACUGUCGUGAGGGAAUAAUGCUUGGUUCCGGCCAAGUUGAAUGUACCUCGAAAGGAAGCACCGGCAAACUUCGUGCCAGCAGCCGCGGUAAUACGAGGGGUGCAAGCGUUGUUCGGAAUCACUGGGCGUAAGGGAGCGCAGGCGGAAAUGCAAGCGGUCGGUACAAUGCCGGGGCCCAACCCCGGACCUGCAGACCGGACUGCAUUUCUUGGAUAGUUCAGGGGCAAGCGGAAUUCCUGGUGUAGCGGUGGAAUGCGUAGAGAUCAGGAAGAACACCGAUGGCGAAGGCAGCUUGCUGGGGACUUAUCGACGCUCAUGCUCGAAAGUGCGGGUAGCAAACAGGAUUAGAUACCCUGGUA